rnacentral:rRNA from 1 species
CCUACGGGAGACAGCAGUGAGGAAUAUUGGUCAAUGGCCGUAAGGCUGAACCAGCCAAGUCGCGUGAAGGAAGAAGGAUCUAUGGUUUGUAAACUUCUUUUAUAGGGGAAUAAAGGUAUCCACGUGUGGAUAUUUGCAUGUACCCUAUGAAUAAGCAUCGGCUAACUCCGUGCCAGCAGCCGCGGUAAUACGGAGGAUGCGAGCGUUAUCCGGAUUUAUUGGGUUUAAAGGGUGCGUAGGUUGUUUUUUAAGUCAGCGGUGAAAGUUUGUGGCUCAACCAUAAAAUUGCCGUUGAAACUGGCAGACUUGAGUGUGUUUGAGGUAGGCGGAAUGCGUGGUGUAGCGGUGAAAUGCAUAGAUAUCACGCAGAACUCCGAUUGCGAAGGCAGCUUACUAAGCCAUAACUGACACUGAAGCACGAAAGCGUGGGGAUCAAACAGGAUUAGAUACCCCAGUAGUC